rnacentral:rRNA from 1 species
GAGUAGUAAAAGAUAAUCUUGAAACUUAAAAUUUUUGGCGGUUUUUUAGGCUGUUUAGAGGAACCUGUCCUGUAAUAGAUGAUCCACUGUUGAUUUAACUUUGAAGUGUUGGUUUAUAUACCUCCGUCGUAAAGUAAAUUUUUUAGAAUUUAUUGAAAUUUUUUUGAAAAUAUGGCAGGUCAAGGUGUAGCUGGUGUUGGAGGGUGAGAUGGGUUACAAUAUUAGAUUGAUAAACGGAUAUUAUAUUAGAAUAUUUUUAUUUGAAGGUGGAUUUAAAAGUAAUUUUUAUGAUUAAGAUGCUAAAGUGGAAUAUGGCUCUGAAAAAUGU